AUGGAGGGUAAAAUCGGCGGCUCGAUCGCGGCGGAACAGGGUGAAAUCCUGAAGGGGAAGAAGGCGAGCGCGUCGGAGGGGUCUGAAAUCCGGAAGAUGAAUAAGGCGAGCGCGUCGGAACGGGGUGAAAUCCGCGCGUCGCAGGGGACUGAAGUCCUGAAGAGGAAGAAGGAGUUGGCAGAGACGAUAGCGGCGGAGGGUCGCCGGUGGCUGGGCCGCAGGACCACGGCGGAGGAUGCACAGCCGUCCGGGUCCGGCAAGAAGAGGAAGGUGGUGGUCAAGAGGAGGUUGCCGCAGGCACUCAUCGACUUUUUGAUUGCAAAUCCCUGCAAGCUCGUCGAUGAGCUCCCUGACGACGUGCUGGCCGAGAAGGAUUAUGAAUACCGCGAAACCUAUGCUGAGAAAAAGGACAAGGCCCAGAAGAUAAAUGCCUACAAUCAGACCCUCAUCGACCAGUACUACGCGAAUGGCUAUGCGGAUGACGAGUCUGAGGUCAGUGACGACGAGGAGGAAACGGUGGAGAACUAA
rnacentral:rRNA from 1 species